rnacentral:piRNA from 1 species
UUGUCUCCAAAACAGCAUCCAUUGAGGAC